GGACGAACGCUGGCGGCGUGCCUAACACAUGCAAGUCGAGCGAGGAGAUCCUUCGGGAUGAUCCUAGCGGCGGACGGGUGAGUAACACGUGGACAACCUGCCUCAUAGAGAGGAAUAGCCUUCCGAAAGGGAGAUUAAUACCUCAUAACAUUGCAGUUUCGCAUGGAACAGCAAUUAAAGGAGUAAUCCGCUAUGAGAUGGGCCCGCGGCGCAUUAGCUAGUUGGUGAGGUAAUGGCUCACCAAGGCGACGAUGCGUAGCCGACCUGAGAGGGUGAUCGGCCACAUUGGGACUGAGACACGGCCCAGACUCCUACGGGAGGCAGCAGUGGGGAAUAUUGCACAAUGGGGGAAACCCUGAUGCAAGCAACGCCGCGUGAGUGAUGACGGCCUUCGGGUUGUAAAGCUCUGUCUUCAGGGACGAUAAUGACGGUACCUGAGGAGGAAGCCACGGCUAACUACGUGCCAGCCGCAGC
rnacentral:rRNA from 1 species